GACCCAGGGUGCAUGCCCAUCUCCAGCCCAGGGCAGCUCCCCUGUAAGCUGGGUGAGCUACUGAAGCCAAGGCGGGAGGCAGCUGACAACACCCACGGCCCAUGCGGAGGUGGUGGAAAGGCUGGACUCAGCAGCAACACCAAAUCCCGGACCAGGCAGAAACCACCCAAGACUGAGGGGCUCGUGCCAGAGCGGUGGCCACAGCCCCACCCCACCGGCUCAGGGGUUCUUCCCAGCGGCGCUGAUCAUGAAGUCAACAUGCACGCAAGUCGUCUCAGGAAACUUUUUAAUGAAAGUGUCGGCCACGGUGGUGUGUAGGUGGCUGAGCUCAGAUUGCAGCUGCUAAGACACCAGCCACUUACCAAGAGAAAGCCAGGCUGCUUCAAACCCAGGGCCCAAGGCAAAAAAGCAUCACUUCCGGCCGGGGAGUCUGGAAGCCACGCCUUGUGGGAGGUCACACUGGCAUCUAGGCCUUCGCCUGCAUUGCAGAAGGAGAGCCAGGUCCCCCUCCUGGAGAACGCUGCGUUCCCCAGCCCCACACCGGCUUUGCCACCACACAGGCUGUUGAGGCAGGAGGUGGGUAAGACGUAGCUGUAGACCCAAAGCAACCACCAGCCCUGGGACCCUGCGGGAGAGGAGCACUUUUAGAACAUGGAAAAGUGUGGUCAUCCCAUCAUUAGACAGCACACAUCCUACAUAAAUAAAAAGUCGUAUGGGGAAGGAGGUUGGGGAGGGAAUAAAAAAUUGGCACAGACAUUGAUAGACUGGUUUCCAGUUUCAAGGUAACAGAUGCACAUCAUGAGACCAGAGGAGGCAGAGACAAGGCUGGAUUUGGCUUUUCUAAGCAACACGUGUUCCUGCGCAGGGCUGAAUGGUCGCUGAGACAGAGAUGGAAGCCAGGACAAGGGAGCCCACCGGGCCCAGAUAGGUACAGAGAGCAGAGGCUCCUGUUCUGUCCUCGCCACCCACGACGGUGACACUGCUUGUAAAUGGUGGCUGUGCUCUCCCAGCAAGAAAAAAGCACAACUAAAUCCACACUGCACACAGACGCAGACAGAAAGCCUUCAAGUGGCUGUUUUCUGCUCCCUGCCUUGCCAGGUCCACAAGCAGAGAGGAGUGUCAGGCGCAUGGCCCCACUGUCAGGCUCCCUAGUGAGCUGCGGGUUCAGCAGGAGCUGCCCACUGACACACAGGGGACACCCACUCCUCCCACCUUGGGAGCGGGUGCCAGACAGAGCCGCACUGGGUGCUGGUGUCAUCCAGGGACCCCACACACUUCCUUAAAUGUGAUCCUGCUUCCCUCUGGGCAGCUGCAUCCUCUCCUCCUGCAGGACCGUGUGGAAACUUGGCUCUCAGUUUGCUCUCCCUUCUCUCCU
rnacentral:lncRNA from 1 species